ACCAACCUCCUCAUAAUCCUUCUCGAGGGCAGCAAGAUCUUCACGUGCUUCACUGAAUUCACCUUCCUCCAUACCCUCACCGACAUACCAAUGCACAAAAGCACGCUUGGCGUACAUCAGAUCAAACUUGUGGUCAAUGCGUGAGAAGACCUCAGCAACACUUGUUGAGUUGGAGAUCAUGCACACAGCCCUCUGUACCUUAGCAAGGUCACCACCAGGAACAACA
rnacentral:misc_RNA from 1 species